rnacentral:rRNA from 1 species
GUCCAGACUCCUACGGGAGGCAGCAGUGGGGAAUAUUGCACAAUGGGGGAAACCCUGAUGCAGCGACGCCGCGUGAGCGAUGAAGUAUUUCGGUAUGUAAAGCUCUAUCAGCAGGGAAGAAAAUGACGGUACCUGACUAAGAAGCCCCGGCUAACUACGUGCCAGCAGCCGCGGUAAUACGUAGGGGGCAAGCGUUAUCCGGAUUUACUGGGUGUAAAGGGAGCGUAGACGGCUGUGCAAGCCAGAUGUGAAAGCCCGGGGCUCAACCCCGGGACUGCAUUUGGAACUGUGUGGCUGGAGUGUCGGAGAGGUAAGCGGAAUUCCUGGCGUAGCGGUGAAAUGCGUAGAUAUCAGGAGGAACACCGGCGGCGAAGGCGGCCUGCUGGACCGUGACUGACGUUGAGGCUCGAGAGCGUGGGGAGCAAACAGGAUUAGAUACCCUAGUAA